ACCUCUCAACCUUGUGGAUUACUGAGUCAGAGAGCAAGACCCUGUUGUCCGCAAACCCCCCUUCACAUCAGGAUCCCAUAAAAAUCUGGAGCUCGGUGGCUGCAAGCAACGGUUAGAACAGCUUAGACCCAAAAUUAAUUGAUUAAUUGUCAUUGUUAUUAUUAUUAUUAUUAAAUCUAUGUCAACUUGAAAAAAAAAAAAAAAAAAAAAAAAUAGGAAUAAGAUGCGAAGAACGCAGCAGGAGGCAAACGUGGAACCGCGACAAGCUGCUGAACACAAAAGUCUUCAUCAUAAAAGGAAUUCGGAGAAGAGGCUCCCUUUAUGCAGUAUUAUGUCAGCCUUCCUUGCCCGACUGCUUCCAAGCACGCUUGAUGUCACAUUGUCCACCUGAUCAUUUCGCUACCUGCUCUCCUGCUUAAGGCUGCCCUUUCGCUGCUCCACCACUCGAGAUGCUUGGUUGACUCCUCUGAAACCAUCAUGUCGUUGUGUGCUAGAACCCAGCAGGCUGUUCUUCUUCUCUCCUGUCAACUGUGAGCGCAGGCAAGGACUCCUCUACUCAUAUGAUGAUUUCAUAUGAGCGUGCCAGUGUUUACGCUUGUUUUUGUCAGUGUUGCUUGCAUUUUAAAAAGGGCAAUGCAGCUGCAAAGCGAAAUUAAUUUAACUUGUGCAGCUUUUUAAAAAUAAGCUAAUGUCUUGCGCAGCUGCAGCCAUUACUACCUAUCAUGUUUAUGAGUGCCUUUGUAGAUAGGCGCCAGCCCCCUUGACCCUUCAAGGAUAAAUGGUUAGACAAUGGCUAGAUGGAUGCAUGUUUGUGAAUAAAUUGAAAACGUUUUUGUUUUUUACAUGUAAUUCUGUGGUAUUACAAAUAUUAAAUUUAAGUAUUUUACUUAAUGUUUUUGGAUAGUACAACUUCUACUAUUUAGUUAUUGCUAUUAUGUAGAUUCUGUCUCAUUUGUACCAUUUCUGUAUCACCUUCAGGUGGGAAAAUAACAUGUAAUUGGUUGACUGACUUUUUUUCCACAUACAGUGUCUUGCAAAAAUGUUCAUAAUCCUCAAACAUUUAGUCACAUUUCAGCUCCAGAGUACUUUAAUAGGAUUGUAUGUUCUGCACCACUGCAAAGUAGUGCAUCAUUUUGAAGUGGAAUGAAAAUUAUUCAUGGUUUUAAAAGAUUUUUACAAAUAAAAAAAUGUGAA